rnacentral:tRNA from 1 species
GCCGGAGUGGUGAAAUUGGUAGACGCACCGGACUCAAAAUCCGGCGGGCCAUAAACCCGUGGGGGUUCGAUUCCCCCCUCCGGCA